rnacentral:rRNA from 1 species
GACGAACGCUGGCGGCGUGCUUAACACAUGCAAGUCGAACGGUGAAGCUCCAAGCUUGCUUGGGGUGGAUCAGUGGCGAACGGGUGAGUAACACGUGAGCAACCUGCCCCAGACUCUGGAAUAAGCGCUGGAAACGGCGUCUAAUACUGGAUAUGACAUCGACCCGCAUGGGUACGGUGUGGAAAGUUUUUCGGUUUGGGAUGGGCUCGCGGCCUAUCAGCUUGUUGGUGAGGUAAUGGCUCACCAAGGCGACGACGGGUAGCCGGCCUGAGAGGGCGACCGGCCACACUGGGACUGAGACACGGCCCAGACUCCUACGGGAGGCAGCAGUGGGGAAUAUUGCACAAUGGGCGAAAGCCUGAUGCAGCGACGCCGCGUGAGGGAUGACGGCCUUCGGGUUGUAAACCUCUUUCAGCAGGGAAGAAGCGAAAGUGACGGUACUGCAGAAGAAGCACCGGCUAACUACGUGCCAGCAGCCGCGGUAAUACGUAGGGUGCGAGCGUUGUCCGGAAUUAUUGGGCGUAAAGGGCUUGUAGGCGGUUUGUCGCGUCUGCUGUGAAAAUCCGAGGCUCAACCUCGGACUUGCAGUGGGUACGGGCAGACUAGAGUGUGGUAGGGGAGACUGGAAUUCCUGGUGUAGCGGUGAAAUGCGCAGAUAUCAGGAGGAACACCGAUGGCGAAGGCAGGUCUCUGGGCCACUACUGACGCUGAGAAGCGAAAGCAUGGGGAGCGAACAGGAUUAGAUACCCUGGUAGUCCAUGCCGUAAACGUUGGGCGCUAGGUGUGGGACUCAUUCCACGAUUUCCGUGCCGCAGCUAACGCAUUAAGCGCCCCGCCUGGGGAGUACGGCCGCAAGGCUAAAACUCAAAGGAAUUGACGG